UUUAUAUGAGAGUUUGAUCCUGGCUCAGGAUGAACGCCGGCGGUGUGCCUAAUACAUGCAAGUCGUACGCACUGGCCCAACUGAUUGAUGGUGCUUGCACCUGAUUGACGAUGGAUCACCAGUGAGUGGCGGACGGGUGAGUAACACGUAGGUAACCUGCCCCGGAGCGGGGGAUAACAUUUGGAAACAGAUGCUAAUACCGC
rnacentral:rRNA from 1 species